rnacentral:rRNA from 1 species
GAAAGAUGGCUUUGGCUAUCACUCUGGGAUGGACCUGCGGUGCAUUAGCUAGUUGGUAAGGUAACGGCUUACCAAGGCGAUGAUGCAUAGCCGAGUUGAGAGACUGAUCGGCCACAAUGGAACUGAGACACGGUCCAUACUCCUACGGGAGGCAGCAGUAGGGAAUCUUCCACAAUGGGCGCAAGCCUGAUGGAGCAACACCGCGUGAGUGAAGAAGGGUUUCGGCUCGUAAAGCUCUGUUGUUGGAGAAGAACGUGCGUGAGAGUAACUGUUCAUGCAGUGACGGUAUCCAACCAGAAAGUCACGGCUAACUACGUGCCAGCAGCCGCGGUAAUACGUAGGUGGCAAGCGUUAUCCGGAUUUAUUGGGCGUAAAGCGAGCGCAGGCGGUUGCUUAGGUCUGGUGUGAAAGCCUUCGGCUUAACCGAAGAAGUGCAUCGGAAACCGGGCGACUUGAGUGCAGAAGAGGACAGUGGAACUCCAUGUGUAGCGGUGGAAUGCGUAGAUAUAUGGAAGAACACCAGUGGCGAAGGCGGCUGUCUGGUCUGCAACUGACGCUGAGGCUCGAAAGCAUGGGUAGCGAACAGGAUUAGAUACCCUGGUAGUCCAUGCCGUAAACGAUGAGUGCUAGGUGUUGGAGGGUUUCCGCCCUUCAGUGCC